rnacentral:rRNA from 1 species
CCGUGAUAAAGUAGCAUAAUCACUCGUCAUUUAAUUGGUGACUGGAAUGAAUGGUUACACGAAUCUUUAACUGUCUCAAGAAGAAAGUUCAAUUAAUUUGAAAAAACAGUGAAGAUGCUGUUAACAAAAUUGUAAGACGAAAAGACCCUUUCGAGCUUUACUAUAAGCUUAUAGAAAAAAUCUUUAAUAAAAAUAUAAUAAAAACAAACUGUAAGCUAGUUAGUUUGGUUGGGGCGACCACCUCUAAAACAGUAUCAGAGGAAAUCUAAAGGUAUAAUAGUAAUAUUAAUUGCCUUACUGUAUACAAACAAGUUAAUCAGUUACUAUUAUGUAGGAUAUAAUGACCCGUUGAAUUAAUUUCAAAAUUCAACGACCAUGAAAAAAGUUACCGUAGGGAUAACAGGGUAAUAUUAUCACAGAGUUCAUAUCGAUGAUGAU